GACGAACGCUGGCGGCGUGCCUAAUACAUGCAAGUCGAACGCAGUGGGGACGGGUGAGUAACACGUGGGUAACCUCCCAUCAGAGGGGAUAACACUUGGAAACAGGUGCUAAACCGAUCCUGAUGGAUGGACCCGCGGUGCAUUCGCUAGUUGGUGAGGUAACGGCUCACCAAGGCCACGAUGCAUAGCAGACCUGAGAGGGGGAGCGGCCACACUGGGACUGAGACACGGCCCAUACUCCUACGGGAGGCAGCAGUAGGGAAUCUUCCGCAAUGGGCGCAAGCCUGACGGAGCAACGCCGCGUGAGUGAAGAAGGUUUUCGGAUCGUAAAGCUCUGUUGUAAGAGAAGCGGUAUCUGAACAGAAAGCCACGGCUAACUACGUGCCAGCAGCCGCGGUAAUAG
rnacentral:rRNA from 1 species